AUUGAACGCUGGCGGCAUGCCUUACACAUGCAAGUCGAACGGUAACGGGCCUUCGGGUGCCGACGAGUGGCGGACGGGUGAGUAAUACAUCGGAACGUGCCCGAUCGUGGGGGAUAACGAGGCGAAAGCUGUGCUAAUACCGCAUACGAUCUACGGAUGAAAGCAGGGGACCGCAAGGCCUUGCGCGGACGGAGCGGCCGAUGGCAGAUUAGGUAGUUGGUGGGAUAAAAGCUUACCAAGCCGACGAUCUGUAGCUGGUCUGAGAGGAUGAUCAGCCACACUGGGACUGAGACACGGCCCAGACUCCUACGGGAGGCAGCAGUGGGGAAUUUUGGACAAUGGGCGCAAGCCUGAUCCAGCAAUGCCGCGUGCAGGAUGAAGGCCUUCGGGUUGUAAACUGCUUUUGUACGGAACGAAAAGCCUUCUUUUAAUACAGGAGGGUCAUGACGGUACCGUAAGAAUAAGCACCGGCUAACUACGUG
rnacentral:rRNA from 1 species